UGUGUGGGAAUAGUUUAUUUUGUUCUCAAGGAGGCAUCUCCAGCUUUGGGCACUCAGUCAUCAGGGCAGCUGAUGGCCCUGAUGGCUAAGAAAGCAGAUGACUUUAGAUUGAUCUUCCACAAGAAGCAUAGGCCACACACUACUGAGGCAUGUGAACCUGCCAAGCUGGGAGGCACUGCUGCUCGUAUCCACAUCCCACAGCACUCUUGAAUGUCCACACCUUCUGUUUAGUGAGGUUGUGGUAACAUCGUUGGGAAGAUGGGCUGAGUUUUGAUGGAUCCUCAGGAGAUGAAGGUCCGGAAGCCCCUUGGAGUUUGUUUGUGAAUUUGUCUGCGAGACCACACAGAAUCAGCAGCCCUACCCUGCACUGUCAGGCAGGUUCUCCAGAGUGGGUUCCGACCCUUCUAUUCUUUUCAGAGGUAUUUGCAGUCCAUUCUGCUGUCUGGUCCUGGCUUGUCUUUCCUCAUUUUUGCCCAAUUUGAGCUCUUUAGCCUUGACCCUCCAUUGGGGUUUGAGAUUUCUUGCCCUACUCAUAUACAUUAUCCUAUCAGUUUCAACAAAACAAUUCCAUGCUAAUUAUUCUUUUGGCAUGAGCUCAGCCCCACUUUGUUCAUGAGUGCUCUAAUCACUCCUGCAGGAAACAGUCUUGCUUCAUGUAUUCUACUUUACCCAUAGGUCAUCCCUCUUCCCAUGUAUUUAAUCACAGAGCAACAUCUUCCAUUUAAUAUUGUGAAUGUAUCUCAGAUGUAUUCCCAGGAGCAAUGCCCUUAAAUAUUCAAAUUGUAUGUGUGGGAGGUGAGAGGGUAAGUAUAGAGACGUAAAGACAGCUUUAUGUAUUUCAGUCGUCAACUGAAUUUAGCCCACCUACUGAAACAUAAACAACAUUGUUUCAUAUUCUCUUGGGGGAACUCAGGGCUUCCCCCCCAAGAGCUCUACAAAUUCUGGGAGGUUUAUAGCCUCCGUCUCAUAAUUCCUUACCCUUAUCAUUUCUUGAAAUGUCACAUGUAUCUGUAGACUCUCUGUCCUUAAUGUGCUGUACAUUGUGAUUUAAUGCUAUAACUAGUACUCCAACAGGAUUUUUCACUUGGUGUUGCUAUGU